UGCCAGCCGCCGCGGUAAUACGGAGGGGGUUAGCGUUGUUCGGAAUUACUGGGCGUAAAGCGCACGUAGGCGGAUUAGUAAGUGAGGGGUGAAAUCCCAGGGCUCAACCCUGGAACUGCCUCUCAUACUGGCGAUCUCGAGUUCGAGAGAGGUGAGUGGAAUUCCGAGUGUAGAGGUGAAAUUCGUAGAUAUUCGGAGGAACACCAGUGGCGAAGGCGGCUCACUGGCUCGAUACUGACGCUGAGGUGCGAAAGUGUGGGGAGCAAACAGGAUUAGAUA
rnacentral:rRNA from 1 species